rnacentral:lncRNA from 1 species
AUGCUACAGGCAAAACACACUGAUUAUGAUGGGGCUUUUCUUUUAGCAGCUGCCACUGAGCAGUGUCACACAUGGAGAAAAUGGAAAGUCGUCUCUGCCCAGUUGUGUCAAGCAUUUAAAAAGAAGAAAGUAAAAAGAACGCAUGGGAAGAAACAGGUGGCAACUGUUGCUGUUGAAUCCUCCUUCAAGGAAGAGUAYGGGAGGGAUUUUUUUAAGAAUUUAAACACAGUGACUCUCCACAAGGUAUAUGGUGGCUGCACAGGACCAGUGCCCUUUGUGAGGACGCUCCUAUCUCCACGUGAAAGCGAGAGAGACAGGAAUCUCACUCCAGAAGGUCUCAGCACAGGAGGAAACAGCAGAGGAAAAAAUGAAGUGGAAGAACACAGAACCUCAAGCUAUUAAGUGAGCGGGAGAUUGACAGCCAGUCGUGCGUGCAUCACACCACCAGCCUGCUCUUCAMGUCUCAGCCGUAAGGAUGAGUUCAUGUUCGUAAGACAGAAGAGCUGGAUAGAAGAGAGAAAGAACAUGCCAAAAAUCCACAUUGAAAAAAUCAGUCAUAAGGCAUUUUGCAAAAGUGCUGCUUUGAUGAAAGCUACUGCAGUUCAGUGUUUCCACCAGGAGUGUGCGUGCGGGAGUGGAGGAGAGAAGGGGACAGGUGCCACUUUUCGGUGGCAACCAGCAGUAUAUUGGCUCAGCUGUUUCAUCAGCUCUAUCCAAAAUAUGCAAAGAGGCAAGGUUAAAUCACCGCGUGUCCUUUCUCAACGGCACUCCCUUUCUAACUCAGAUACUUGGUCCUUGUCACUGCAGUACCGCAGGUGUUGCCUUCCUGGUCCAUAUGCCUGAAACCAAACCACCCAAGACAACAGCCAGCGGUAAAAUGCCGUUCAUGACUAACUUCCCACAGUGGUCAGCUCAAGAGAUACAAAGAUGCCUGCAAUCCACAAGACACACGGAAGCACAAUUUCUGUGACACGAAAAAAAAGUGGAAGAUGAUUUAUCACGAUCUAAUUGGCAUUUGAAAGAGCUCAUCACCACCUUUUGAAGAGGAAGUCCCCAGGGAAACGUAGGAAAAGUGUACUCCUGAGGUCAGCCUGACAUUUGUCAUCCCAUGUGUGGGAAAACAUUUUCCUUGAAAAGAAGACGUUGGAGUCAUGAGGACUUGGAAGCAGAAUGGGGAGAGCCUCUACAGUGCUGGUAGCGCUGGCAUUGCAGGAGAAUGGGGAGACCGCAACGGAGACGCAGGCUGCCUCGACCCUGCGCAGAUACAUGAGGAAGGAUGGCCUCUGCCUCCCCAAGCGCAGCCGGAGCAGGUGGAGCAGGGAAAUCAAGGCUUAGCAGCACWUCUUUACCAAAGAGAAACCCCAGCAGAGAAGCAGUAAGUGCUCUUGUUUGCACAGGCAGU